rfam:Anolis carolinensis chromosome 3, whole genome shotgun sequence.
CCAAAGGUCUUUUUCAAGACCAUUGCUAACAAUUAUGUCUAUUAAU